rnacentral:rRNA from 1 species
GUGUCAGCCGCCGCGGUAAGACGGAGGGGGCAAGCGUUGUCCGGACUUACUGGGCGUAAAGGGCGCGUAGGUGGUUUCGUGCGUCGAUGCUGAAAGCGCCGGGCUUAACCCGGCGAGGCGUGUCGAUACGACGAGACUUGAGGCAGAGAGAGGCGAGCGGAAUUCCGGGUGUAGUGGUGAAAUGCGUAGAGAUCCGGAGGAACGCCAGAGACGAAGGUGGCUCGCUGGCUCUGACCUGACACUGAGGCGCGAAAGCGUGGGGAGCGAACCGGAUUAGAAACCCUGGUAGUCC